UGGUGUAGCGGUGAAAUGCAUAGAUAUCACGCAGAACUCCGAUUGCGAAGGCAGCGUACCGGCGCCCAACUGACGCUGAAGCACGAAAGCGUGGGUAUCGAACAGGAUUAGAUACCCUGGUAGUCCACGCAGUAAACGAUGAAUGCUAGCUGUCCGGGACGAAUGAGUCCUGGGUGGCACAGCGAAAGCGUUAAGCAUUCCACCUGGGGAGUACGCCGGCAACGGUGAAACUCAAAGGAAUUGACGGGGGCCCGCACAAGCGGAGGAACAUGUGGUUUAAUUCGAUGAUACGCGAGGAACCUUACCCGGGCUCAAACGCACUACGAAUGAUGCUGAAAGGUGUCAGCCAGCAAUGGCGUAGUGCGAGGUGCUGCAUGGUUGUCGUCAGCUCGUGCCGUGAGGUGUCGGCUUAAGUGCCAUAACGAGCGCAACCCCUACCGACAGUUGCUAACUGGUCAAGCAGAGGACUCUGUCGGGACUGCCGGCGCAAGCUGUGAGGAAGGCGGGGAUGACGUCAAAUCAGCACGGCCCUUACGUCCGGGGCGACACACGUGUUACAAUGGCAGGUACAGCGGGAAGCCACCUGGCGACAGGGAGCGGAACCCGAAAACCUGUCUCAGUUCGGAUUGGAGUCUGCAACCCGACUCCAUGAAGCUGGAUUCGCUAGUAAUCGCGCAUCAGCCAUGGCGCGGUGAAUACGUUCCCGGGCCUUGUACACACCGCCCGUCAAGCCAUGGGAGCCGGGGGUACCUGAAGUGCGUAACCGCGAGGAGCGCCCUAGGGUAAAACUGGUGACUGGGGCUAAGUCGUAACAAGGUAGCCGUACCGGAAGGUGCGGCUG
rnacentral:rRNA from 1 species